AAAAGAAAAGAAGAAGAAGAAGGAGAUGAAUAAUGGAAAAGGAAAUGGAAAGAAUAAAGUGCAUUAGAUGAAAAUGGGAUGUACCAAACCACAAGUGUUGACCAAUGACAUUGAGGAUCAUGAUCAAACAAUCAAAAACAGAAGUGAGAUGAAGAUUGGAAGUCAAGAAAUGAACAAAAUAUUUUUGGCAUUUUUAAUAUUCAAAAUAAACUUGAAUU
rnacentral:lncRNA from 1 species